rnacentral:rRNA from 1 species
GUGCGAGCGUUAAUCGGAAUUACUGGGCGUAAAGGGUGCGCAGGCGGUUGAGUAAGACAGAUGUGAAAUCCCCGAGCUUAACUCGGGAAUGGCAUAUGUGACUGCUCGACUAGAGUGUGUCAGAGGGAGGUGGAAUUCCACGUGUAGCAGUGAAAUGCGUAGAUAUGUGGAAGAACACCGAUGGCGAAGGCAGCCUCCUGGGACAUAACUGACGCUCAGGCACGAAAGCGUGGGGAGCAAACAGGAUUAGAUACCCUGGUAGUCCACGCCCUAAACGAUGUUAACUAGUUGUUGGGAUGUAACAAUCUCAGUAACGCAGCCAACGCGAGAAGUUAACCGCCUGGGAAGUACGGUCGCAAGACUAAAACUCAAAGGAAUUGACGGGGACCCGCACAAGCGGUGGAUGAUGUGGAUUAAUUCGAUGCAACGCGAAAAACCUUACCUAGCCUUGACAUGCCAGGAAUCCUGAAGAGAUUCGGGAGUGCCCGCAAGGGAAUCUGGACACAGGUGCUGCAUGGCUGUCGUCAGCUCGUGUCGUGAGAUGUUGGGUUAAGUCCCGCAACGAGCGCAACCCCCGCCGCGUGUUGCCAUCGGGUGAUGCCGGGAACCCACGCGGGACCGCCGCCGUCAAGGCGGAGGAGGGCGGGGACGACGUCAAGUCAUCAUGCCCCUUAUGCCCUGGGCUGCACACGUGCUACAAUGGCCGGUACAGAGGGAUGCCACCCCGCGAGGGGGAGCGGAUCCCGGAAAGCCGGCCCCAGUUCGGAUUGGGGGCUGCAACCCGCCCCCAUGAAGUCGGAGUUGCUAGUAAUCGCGGAUCAGCAUGCCGCGGUGAAUGCGUUCCCGGGCCUUGUACACACCGCCCGUCACACCACCCGAGUCGUCUGCACCCGAAGUCGCCGGCCCAACCGUCAAGGGGGGAGGCGCCGAAGGUGUGGAGGGUGAGGGGGGUGAAGUCGUAACAAGGUAGCCGUACCGGAAGGUGCGGCUG